AUUCGCCCUUAGAGUUUGAUGGUGGCUCAGAUUGAACGCUGGCGGCAGGCUUAACACAUGCAAGUCGAGCGGUAACAGGGGUAGCUUGCUACCCGCUGACGAGCGGCGGACGGGUGAGUAAUGCUUACGAAUCUGCCUAGUAGGGGGGGAUAGCCCGGGGAAACCCGGAUUAAUACCGCAUACGUCCUACGGGAGAAAGCAGGGGAUCUUCGGACCUUGCGCUAUUAGAUGAGCCUAAGUCGGAUUAGCUAGUUGGUGGGGUAAGAGCCUACCAAGGCGACGAUCCGUAGCUGGUCUGAUAGGAUGAUCAGCCACAUCGGGACUGAGACACGGCCCGAACUCCUACGGGAGGCAGCAGUGGGGAAUAUUGGACAAUGGGGGCAACCCUGAUCCAGCCAUGCCGCGUGUGUGAAGAAGGCUUUCGGGUUGUAAAGCACUUUCAGUGAGGAGGAAAAGUUGGUCGCUAAUAUCGGCCAGCCUUGACGUUACUCACAGAAGAAGCACCGGCUAACUCCGUGCCAGCAGCCGGGGUAAUACGGAGGGUGCAAGCGUUAAUCGUCAUUACUGG
rnacentral:rRNA from 1 species